AUUGAACGCUGGCGGCAGGCCUAACACAUGCAAGUCGAACGAGUGGCGGACGGGUGAGUAAUGUCUGGGAAAAUGCCCGAUGGAGGGGGAUAACUACUGGAAACGGUAGCUAAUACCGCAUACCAUCGGAUGUGCCCAGAUGGGAUUAGCGAGUAGGGGGGGUACCGGCUCACCUAGGCGACGAUCCCUAGCUGGUAUGAGAGGAUGACCAGCCACACUGGAAGUGAGACAUGGUCCAGACUCCUACGGGAGGCAGCAGUGGUGAAUAUUGCACAAUGGGCGCAAGCCUGAUGCAGCCAUGCCGCGUGUAUGAAGAAGGCCUUCGGGUUGUAAAGUAAUUUCAGCGAGGAGGCGUUACUCGCAGAAGAAGCACCGGCUAACUCCGUGCCAGCAGCCGCGGUAAUAC
rnacentral:rRNA from 1 species